rnacentral:ncRNA from 1 species
CGACGUUGAUAGGUCGGAUGUGGAAGCGUGGCAACACGUGGAGCUCACCGAUACUAAUAAGCCGUGCGGCUUAACCAU